rnacentral:sRNA from 1 species
UUGGCUUCUUUGUCAAAAAUAAAGUGUCCUUAGGUGUGUGGGUUUAUUUCAGGGUCUUUUGAUUAGAUUCCACUGACCAACUUGUCUGUCUCUAUACCAAUACCCUACAGUUUUUAUCACUGUUGCUCUGUAGUGCAGCUUUGAAGUCGGAGAUGGUGAUGCUUCCAGAAGUUCUUUUAUUGGACAGGAUUAUUUUUAACAAUCUUGUUUUUUUUUUUCUUUUCCAUGUGAAGUUGAAUAUUGUUCUUUUAAGGUCCUUAAGGGAUGGUGUUGGAAUUUUGAUGGGAAUUGCAUUGAACCUAUAGAUUGCUCUUAGCACAUAUGUAGCAGAUAGGUAGUAGUCCCUGAGUCUGUGGCCUCCCUGUGGGUCUUGUUUCCCUAACCAGUCUGCCUUGUCUAGCCUCAGUGGGAGAGGAGGUACCUAGUACUAUAGUGCCUUGAUGUACCAGGGUGGGUUGGCACCCAGAGAGGAUCUCUCCCCUGUCUCAGGUGGACGGAGAGGGAGACUGGGGGAUAGGUUGUGUGAGGGAGAUUGGGAUGGGGAGGGGGAAUUACAAUCAUAAGGAUUUAAAGUAAAUAAAUAAAUUGUUUAAUGGUGCAAAAAGGAAGUAUGAUACAGACAGCCAAGGGAGCCCUGUAUUGACCGAUUGCACAAGUGUUCCUUGAGAUUCUUUCCAGUCUUUCGGAGGAACCCACAAAUAAAGCACAGUUCCCAAACCCUUUACAGAGCCUAGAGUUUGCGUGAAGAAAGCGCAGUCAGUUUACCUCCAUUUAAUAGUAACGUAUUAUAUAACUUUUAGUUUCUACACACUUUGGGGAUAGGCAGAUAAUGUGUGCUUUGUUCAGGACUUCUUAGUUUAGGUACAGAUUUAUCAGUUAAAUUAGAAAUCAUCCUUAAUCCGUUUCCUAGAUGGGAACUUUUGGAAUUUUAUUUCCAUCUGGCAUGCUUGUGCACACAGAUGUUUGUAGUUACUUUAAUGACAUACUGUCCUUAGGAGAUGCAACAUGCAUUCAUUUACACAUAUGCACAUAUAAACCCCACACACACACAAAACAUGCACACACACGCACACACCUACCUAGGCACCUCAAAAAAGGAAGCCAGUGCAUACCAAACUGAUUUUUACUGGUAUCCAACAUGGUAGAUCAAUGGAUUUUUCUUUGUGUUACUAACAGGAGUAGGGGUAAAGGGUUAUUACAAGGGAUAGGAAUGACUCAAAAGCAGGGCUAUCAUUAUAGUGUCCAUCGAAGCACAUGUGAUAGCUUAUGAAAGUUACAAUCCUAGAACCAGCUCUCAGGACUGCUUGCAGGCAACUGCAGCCUGAGAAUCUCUUCCUCUGCAGUUCCCCUGGUGAGUCUCCUCCCGGGUAGUUGUUUAAUCUUUUAUAUUCUGCCGUAAUGGACCCUCUCCAAUCCUUCAAAUGUCUCGUGUUUCAGACACAGACCUUUAUAUACCUGCUGAGUUUCAUAAGCCUCCCCUUCUUUCCUAGAGGGACUAUUUUAAUUUGAAGGAAAUUGCGAUAUGUAGCGACAGCACAAAAAAUAAAAUGUAGGCUUAUUCUCUGAGAGGAAGAAUGAACUCUCUUUCCGACGCCACAAGGAUGACUACAUUGCAGAAUCCUCUGCUAUGCAUCACUGACAACUAGGGCGAAUGCCAUGUUUUUGCUGUGACUCACCCUGCCAGGCGAGAGGCUCCCACAUUAAAAAUCAAGAUGAUAUGUUUUUGCCCAUUCUUCAUCCUGCCUCACCACCCCCGGGGGAGUGGAGCAGGGACAAAAACCAAAACACAAUAGUUUUUCAGUUUGGCUCCUACCCACCAAUUAUCACUGAUAGAGGUGUUCUGGAAAGCACAGCCCCCUUGUCCUCACCUUGAUGGCUCAGCAGAACCAGCAAGUUCUGAGGAAAAGUCCACUCCAGAAAACUACAGCCUCCAUAAGUAUUAUAAAUAACCACGAACAGACAAUCUUCCAAAGAAUUCUUCUUUCCUUAUUGUAUCCUUUGACUCAACAUAUUAAGACUUUGAAGUUCGCUUUAUUUUUCCCACUUCUAUCUUCCCUUCCUUCCCUGGAGUAAUUACCUGUCUCGGUUCUUGCAUAACCUCUGCCUAUGCUCACAACACCCAGACGUGCCGUCUUUGCUCACAGUCUUUGAACAGCUUUCUAGGGACACAGCAGCCCAGCCCAACAGCUUAGGGUGUCCCCAAGUCAAGCCCCUGUUCUAGCUGACCCCAGUCCUGAUGCACAGCAUUUUACCUCUGAGGUCUCCUGGGAGCGUUCUCUCAACACUUUGUGUGGCUUUUUGUAUGCUACUUCAGUGUGAAAGUGAGGACGACACCUCGGGUUCCUGCCAUGUUCUAGGCCACUCACUCGCAUACCCACCUCGUGCUGCCAUGACAGAAGCAGGUGUCCCACCUCCCUCAUCUGGAUCCUUGUUUGCUGAGCCAUCCCGUCUCCUAGGAGACUGCUGCUUCCCUGUGCCAAUUCUUCAUUGUCUUCCUCCAAACCUCUUGGUCCCUCCCAGCAGCAUAGAACCAUGCGUAUCAGUUCACUCAGUCAGUAUUCCCUAAUGUUGUGCUAGCAAGUCCCAUAUUGUGUAUGGAGGAAACACAGGUAACCGAA